UGUAAACAUUGAGGGUGUUUGGUUGUUCAAGAUUCUAAAACUGAAUUUCACGUGCGGUUUAAUACAGAUCAGUAAUGUGCCCUAUUUAGUUAAGUGGAACUAGUAAUGUAGCGACAAGAAAUGAAUGCUGCAAAUAUGAGCGCGCACAUAAUGUGUUUGACGUCCGGCGGUGGACUACCUUUGUUUUCAAGAAAAAAAGGAGAGGGUGAACCUCUUCCGUUUCCAGUUGUGGCCUCACUAAAUGGUGUUCACAUGUUUGGAAAAUGCCACAAAAUGAUGCUUCAGAGUACCUCUUCAUCAGACAUGACAGUUGUGUGGCAUGAAGUAGAGGAAAGUGUCAUCCUCAUAGCAGCAGCACAUGGUGCAAGUGAAGAUCUCUUACAGAAAUUGCUUUCCCUGGUGCAUAGUACAAUGAUUUUUACAGUUGGCGCAGAGGAGAUAAAGUCACCACGUAAUAUUGAAAGACUGAAGAAGGACCUGAGGGUAUGCUACCCCAUUCUGGACAAAUUACUGAAUGGAUUGGAGGGUGGGACUGAUUUAUUAGGCCUCCAUGAGGUUAUUCUUUGUCCAGAGAAUCAACUACUCCAGGGAAUUUUAGAUGCCUUCUGUGAGUGUGUCGGUUCCUCCUAUGGAGUUCUCAUGAUUCGUGGUUGUGUGUCAGUUGCCACAUCCAGUUGGUGGUCAUUGGCACCAGUAGAAAGGCAGUUGCUGGUUCUUCUGCUGCAGUGUGGUAAUGAACAUACUGUGGCUCAUGAUGUUCCAGUCUUCCUGCCAGUUAAAAGUCCACAUGUAGCCUAUCGUGUUGUGUCCUGUCUCUUGACGUCUGAUGUGGAGGUGUGUGUGCUGUGUGGACCAACUCCAGGCCUCAGUGAGGUUGAGCGCGCAGCUGCACAGUGCUGGAGGAGUGCCAUUGACUUGUUGCGCAAUGCUCAACAGUCCUUUUCUUUUGAUUCUGGAGUUGCUGGUGUUCUAUUAGUUGAUCUGGAAAUGGGGAAGUUCAUGUUGAAUCGCACACCUGGAAUGAAGCGUAUGGAUAUGCUGCGUACAUUCUAUCAGCAUACUGUGAGCUCUAGUGUUUCUCAUGCUUUAGAGAGUUACUGGUGUUCAGAAUAUCAUAAAUGUCACUCAUUGCGAUCUGGUAACAACUUACUUUGUGUUAUGUACUCGGCAACUGUCCCAAAUGUCACCAUGAGGUGUUCAAGAAAAAUGCACGUUUGUGAUUUGCAGUAUAAUACAUGAAACACAAGUACUGUGAUACGUAUCCACAGAUUUCCUGCAAAGUUAUCUUGCCACAAAGGUAACAUUUUGAUUUGUGUUACACCUAUCAUCCCAAUCUUGAUGAGAAUGACACUUAUCAAAAUGGAAAUGUCCAACUUUUUUGAUGAUGUCACCUAUCUGGAAACGAAAGAACUUUGUAUUAGCUCAAAUUACUAGGAUUCUAUCCAAGAAGAUUCUGAAAAUGAUUCUAUCAGACAAGCAACUAUGCUGGUAACUACAUUAUUAUUUCUUCAAGAUGCUCAAG